GUGGGGAAUAUUGGACAAUGGGCGCAAGCCUGAUCCAGCAAUGCCGCGUGGGUGAAGAAGGUCUUCGGAUCGUAAGGCCCUUUCGACAGGGACGAUGAUGACGGUACCUGUAGAAGAAGCCCCGGCUAACUUCGUGCCAGCAGCCGCGGUAAUACGAAGGGGGCUAGCGUUACUCGGAAUUACUGGGCGUAAAGGGCGCGUAGGCGGCUCUGUUAGUCAGGCGUGAAAUUCCUGGGCUUAACCUGGGGACUGCGCUUGAUACUGCAGGGCUUGAGGCCGAGAGAGGGUGGUGGAAUUCCCAGUGUAGAGGUGAAAUUCGUAGAUAUUGGGAAGAACACCGGUGGCGAAGGCGACCACCUGGCUCGGUUCUGACGCUGGGGCGCGACAGCGUGGGGAGCAAACAGGAUUAGAAACCCUGGUAGUCC
rnacentral:rRNA from 1 species